rnacentral:tRNA from 1 species
GGGCCUAUAGCUCAGCCUGGACAGAGCAACUGCCUUCUAAGCAGGAGGUCGGGGGUCCAAAUCCCCCUAGGCCCG